rnacentral:misc_RNA from 1 species
GAAAACAGUAAACUACUUUAAUUUAUCAUAAACAACACCUGUCGCUCUAAUAAGAAAAUAGCGUCAAAGAACAGAAGAGAAACCUACAGUAAAUAAUUACACACAACCAAACACCUCCUCGACCUACAUAUAAGGACACAAGGAGCAUAAACCAGUAGGUAAUACAAAGUUUCAGUCACUUCCGUUUACAUCAGUCUACAUGAUUGUCGCUUCUGAUGCAGUUAUAAUUGCCUCAGUGUUUGCUUGCAUACCGCUGGCCAAAUAAGUAUUACCUCCGUCGGCGUUUGGACUCAACCUUUAUAUCAGCAUGUCUUGAAGUAGCAUGAGAAUUUAGCAAUUUCUUCUGAUCUUCAGAUGAACAAUUUUGGCAAAAGAAGUGGUCAAGUCUCUUGGCUUCCUCUGGCGUCAUGUCUAUACAAGUAGGGUGAAACCAGUCACUGCAGCCCUCACAUUGAACCAUGAGGUCAUCAGGAUUGUAUGGCAUUUCACAUUUACAGUACACAGCAACUCUGUCAGGAUUAAAUGCUCCGGUAGAAGAAUUGUAGUCAAAUCGGCAAAAGAAGUCUUCGUUCCCAACAGCGUCGAGUUUGGUGUAGCUCUUGAAUGUGUGGACCGUACACUUGCCUUCAAUUGUGUCGGCACUUUGUAUAUCUCGGUGAUCGGACAUAAAAAGUUCCUUGGAGCCGUGAAACUGACGUCGGCCGCCGAUCGACUCCUCCGGACGGUAGUACCACCGGACGUGAACCCUGACGUUGCCACCUCUAUUGUCGGACUCAAUCUUCUCAACUCGAGCAACGUACGACGGCUUUGACGACUCCGACGCUCUCAUCAACACGCAGUCGCCGGCUCGAACGGUCUUGUUGAUGGAUUUGACAGUGUAAGAAUCUAGGGUUCGACGAUUUGUACGAGUUUUAGCCAUGGACUGAAGGAGGAGUGUGUAACACUACAAAAGUCAUGCGCCUGAAACAGCAAACAGUGCAGGAAGAACAAACAGGAGAGAGAUA